rnacentral:rRNA from 1 species
GUAAAGCUCUUUCAGCCGGGAAGAAACGCAUGGGUUAAUACCCUGUGUGGAUGACGGUACCGGAAUAAGAAGCACCGGCUAACUACGUGCCAGCAGCCGCGGUAAUACGUAGGGUGCGAGCGUUAAUCGGAAUUACUGGGCGUAAAGCGUGCGCAGGCGGUUUGUUAAGAUAGGCGUGAAAUCCCCGGGCUCAACCUGGGAACUGCGUUUAUGACUGGCAGGCUAGAGUAUGGCAGAGGGGGUGGAAUUCCACGUGUAGCAGUGAAAUGCGUAGAGAUGUGGAGGAACACCGAUGGCGAAGGCAGCCCCCUGGGCCAAUACUGACGCUCAUGCACGAAAGCGUGGGUAGCAAACAGGAUUAGAUACCCUGGUAGUCCACGCCCUAAACGAUGUCAACUAGGUGUUGGGAGGGUAAAACCUUUUAGUACCGGAGCUAACGCGUGAAGUUGACCGCCUGGGGAGUACGGCCGCAAGGUUAAAACUCAAAGGAAUUGACGGGGAC